UAAGGUGGCUGACAUGCUCCUUGUCUGAGAUUCUGACCUCAUGGAGGACGCUGACCUGGGGAGAGCAGGGGGAGGUGCUGCUGACCACGAGUGGCAGGCGGGCCCCGACAAGUGGGGAGCAAGUGGGUGAGUCUGAAAUUCCCAAAUGAUGGCAGGGCUCACUCACCUCGAGGUUGAACUCAUUGCUGGUAUAACGUCCGUUGAGUUCUGAGCACUUGAUUCUGAACCGCCGGGACUCGAAGGAUGCUGGAUGCCAGUUGCGAUAGCGGAUGUGAUGCAGCACUUGCUCAUAGCGGCCCAUGGAGCCCACACCUGUGCCAAGAGACCACACCUGUCAGCCGGAGUACCUUUCACGGACUGUACACAGAUGGGCCAAGGAGAAAGGCUUGCUGUACGGUUACCUUGCCAACAAGCGCCAACUAUUCAUGGAGGUGCAAUUACC